UACGUAGGGUGCAAGCGUUGUCCGGAAUUAUUGGGCGUAAAGAGCUCGUAGGCGGUCUGUCGCGUCGGAUGUGAAAACCCAGGGCUCAACCCUGGGCCUGCAUUCGAUACGGGCAGACUAGAGUUCGGUAGGGGAGACUGGAAUUCCUGGUGUAGCGGUGAAAUGCGCAGAUAUCAGGAGGAACACCGAUGGCGAAGGCAGGUCUCUGGGCCACUACUGACGCUGAGAAGCGAAAGCGUGGGGAGCGAACAGG
rnacentral:rRNA from 1 species